AUUAAGAAGGGAGGUAGGAGGAGAGCAUGGAUAUGACCAAACUCAAACUUAUUUCUUGGGAUUGUGAGUUUGCUGCCCCCUAACAGUGCUGGGAACAUAAUCCCUCACGAGGAGCAGAAACAUCUUGCAGUUUAUGUCCGUUUUUAUCCAUUGAUCUCCUGCUGUCGAUGUCUGACUUUUCGCUUUGUCUGUUUUAUCAGUGGGAGCUGAUGUCAACUCUUCAGAAAUGUCAAGGUUCUGCAAUUCUCAUAGAUUCCCAGGAGCUCGAAGUUCCCAAGUACGUCUUCCAGGGAUGAGCGGCACUCCAGACUCCCACGCCAUCCAGGAUACCUAGGGCCACCUGGAACUCCAGGAGACAUUGAGAAGUCCUUCCCCACUCAAGUCUGCCUUUGCAGUGAAGCUGAGGGAUCCCAUCCCAGGCCCCUCCCAGCCCGUUGUCUUCAAGGAAGUGUUGCGUAAUCAUCAGGCCACUUCAAUCUUACCAAGGGGAUGUUCCCCUGCAUGUACCACCUCAAUCUUACCACAGGGAUGUUCACCUGGCACGUACCACCUUAAUCUUACCACGGG
rnacentral:lncRNA from 1 species